AUCUUCAACCCCAAACCUUGAAUGAGACCGAGUCUCAAGUCCGAGUACUCACCGCCGCCAACUCACCCAAUGGCAUCCAGGGUCUGCUGCAAUACUUCAAUCUCGUUGAAGGAUGUUUGCAAAUGAUUGAAACGUACCAAAAA